rnacentral:rRNA from 1 species
UCGAGCGGACAGAAGGGAGCUUGCUCCCGGAUGUUAGCGGCGGACGGGUGAGUAACACGUGGGUAACCUGCCUGUAAGACUGGGAUAACUCCGGGAAACCGGAGCUAAUACCGGAUAGUUCCUUGAACCGCAUGGUUCAAGGAUGAAAGACGGUUUCGGCUGUCACUUACAGAUGGACCCGCGGCGCAUUAGCUAGUUGGUGAGGUAACGGCUCACCAAGGCGACGAUGCGUAGCCGACCUGAGAGGGUGAUCGGCCACACUGGGACUGAGACACGGCCCAGACUCCUACGGGAGGCAGCAGUAGGGAAUCUUCCGCAAUGGACGAAAGUCUGACGGAGCAACGCCGCGUGAGUGAUGAAGGUUUUCGGAUCGUAAAGCUCUGUUGUUAGGGAAGAACAAGUGCAAGAGUAACUGCUUGCACCUUGACGGUACCUAACCAGAAAGCCACGGCUAACUACGUGCCAGCAGCCGCGGUAAUACGUAGGUGGCAAGCGUUGUCCGGAAUUAUUGGGCGUAAAGGGCUCGCAGGCGGUUUCUUAAGUCUGAUGUGAAAGCCCCCGGCUCACCGGGGAGGGUCAUUGGAAACUGGGAAACUUGAGUGCAG